rnacentral:rRNA from 1 species
UUCCAUCUGGAAGAAUCUGGAGACAGGUGCUGCACGGCUGUCGUCAGCUCGUGUCGUGAGAUGUUGGGUUAAGUCCCGCAACGAGCGCAACCCUUGCCUUUAGUUGCCAGCAGUUCGGCUGGGCACUCUAAAGGGACUGCCGGUGUUAAACCGGAGGAAGGUGGGGAUGACGUCAAGUCCUCAUGGCCUUUAUGACCAGGGCUACACACGUACUACAAUGGCCGAUACAAAGGGGCAGCGACACUGCGAGGUGAAGCCAAUCCCGUAAAAUCGGUCUCAGUCCGGAUUGGAGUCUGCAACUCGACUCCAUGAAGUUGGAAUCGCUAGUAAUUGUGGAUCAGCAUGCCACGGUGAAUACGUUCCCGGGCCUU